rnacentral:rRNA from 1 species
GCGCACCAGUCGCGAAACCUCCGCAAUGCUCGAAAGAGCGACGGGGGGACUCCAAGUGCCUACGCUUUGCGUAGGCUUUUCCCAAGCCUAAAAAGCUUGGGGAAUAAGGGCUGGGUAAGACGGGUGCCAGCCGCCGCGGUAAUACCCGCAGCCCGAGUGGUGGCCGCUUUUAUUGGGGCCUAAAGCGUCCGUAGCCGGUCUGGUAAAUGCCUGGGUAAAUCGUCUGGCUCAACCAGACGAAUUCCGGGUAGACUGCCAGACUAGGGACCCGGAGGAAGGAGAGGGUACUCCGGGGUAGGGGUGAAAUCAGCAAGGUGAGUUGUUGAUGUAACUUGCCUUGCAAGUCACAAUCCUGUAAUCCUCGGAGGACCACCGGUGGCGAAGGCUCUCUCCUAGGACGGGUCCGACGGUGAGGGACGAAAGCCAGGGGAGCAAACCGGAUUAGAUACCCGUGUAGU